AUGUUCUCUUCAGACAGGUUUUUGUUAAGUGUCUUUUUUUUCUUGGACCAAUCAGAUUCCUUCUCCCACUUUCAGUGCCUUGAGCGUCAAGCUUUGGAUGACCCACCCAUGUGGGCGGUUGUGCAGCGAGCGGGUACUGUGAGCCUCAAACAUGCUGUCAGAUGUUACAGUGUUGGGAGAGGCAGGGCCGGGAGACGCCCUGGCAGAGAGCUUGUGCUGAUCGGGAGAAGGCGGCGCGGAAGGGCACCGCAGGCACGCCACGGCCCAUUGCUCCUCCAUGCCCACGUGCGCGCACACCCACCCACAUUCCACACGACCGCGUCUCAGCCGCCACCUUCUGACCAAAGAGAACCUCUGCCCCUGCCCCGGCCCCGCCUUCCCAAGAAGCAGCGUCUGGGGUUGGCUCUUCUCUGCCUUCCCCGCGGCUCGUCCAGGGGGAGGCGGGGCCUCGGGUGCAAUUCCCAGAAUGUUCCUUGCCCUUUCUCGGUGGUCACCAUUCAUUACUCAUGUUAACUUUAAUGAGUUACAUGCUCAUCAGCCACGGGCCAUCACCACCCUUACUGAUGGGUCUGAGAGGUGACAUUCCCAGCCAUCCCUUUGCUGGUAACCAGAUAAUACCCAGGAAGCGAGUAGCUCCAGUUCUGACCUCACAGGCAGCCUCUGUGUCCUUCAUUUCAGCAGAGAGUCCUGCGGAGUGGGUCCGACUGGCACCUGUGGGCUCCCAGCUAUAUUCCACCCCUGGAAGCUGAUACCUUUCUGCAGAGUCUUUUUGUGAGGAAUCAGUGGGAAGGUCUGUCAAGAAUGCAGGUUCCUGUGCAGAAAAUGGAUAUAAAUUUUGAUUGUUUUCAUAGAACUAGAGCCAUGGGUAAGCCAAACACUUAAAGCCUAUAGAUGGUGGCUUUUUAAACAUGAAUAUUCAAAAAAAAAAAUUUUUUUUUGAGUUUGGCCGGAUUCUAUUUCCCCCUUUUUGUUUAAGUAUUAGGUCCAUUCUGUUGAAAUGAUGGCAAGGAGGGGCCCAAGGUGACUAGGUAACUCAGCUGAAGGUGCAGAGAGAAUUGCAGAGAAAGGAAGCCCAGUUGUCAGAAGCCUGGUACAGGACUACUUCACUGUUCUCUGCUCCUAACACAUGAACUGGGGGGUCCUGGGUAUUUGGUAUUAAACAAGCACAGUGCAAGGCACAAGGAAGCAUCAGCAACCAAGGUAGUCUCUGCCCUCUGCAGCUCACACACUGGUGUGAUCAGAAUCUGAAUUGGGACCUGCCUGGUAGGCUCCAUGGAACAGCUUUUCUGGGGAGUGGGCUUGAUGACAGAGCUUUACUGUCUAAUGCUGGCAUCUUCUAGCCUGGUGGUGCUCUGUACUUGGUAAUCCUGAUCACCUUUGGCAUUCUUGUUUCCAUGGAAAGAGCAAGGGACUAGGGGUCAGGAGACCUGAGAGCCAGUUCUGAAGCUGCUGUUAACUGAGUAACCUUGGCCUAAUCUCUUUACAUUCCUCACCUCCAAUUUUCUGGCCUGUAAAAUGAGGGGGAAAGGUUGCACCAACCUAGAACUGCUCUCAUUUGCUGUACCUGCUUGGUGGGGGCUGGGGGAGAGAGCUCACCCCUAGCAAGGACUUGGGAACAGUGGUUAGCAUGUUGGGGGAUAGGGGAUUCUCCUAUUCAAAGAAGCUUUUGCCAUGGGCUUCAUUAUCUUGUCAGAAGUGUGAAUUAGUUCCCAACAGGGACCCCUUCAUCCCAAAUAGCAACAAAAAGCACACUCUAAACCAGAGCAAAAUCAAUGUGGUGGGUUAGCCUUUAGCCUUUGGGUCAUGCGUGGUGCUCCCCACAUAAUUCCGACAGUUUGCAAAAGUGUCUCUUGCCAGGGCAGGGCAUGGUGCGUUUCCUUUACUGUGUGCCCAGGUUUCAGGCCACUACUCUCUGGGAAAAUGGGAGCAGGCACCCUCCACCCCAGUCCUCAGGAACAUCCCCCUGGCCCAGGGACUGCCUGUUCCCCUUACCAAGGAGUGAGCACAGCUGACCCUGUUGGGUAGCAGCCAUUUGCAAGGGGAACUGGUGGCGUGAAGAGGAGUAAAGCAGUUUUGACAAAUUCUGGUCUUGAAGAGGUUCUUGCAAUUCUGGGUGAGCCAUGGUCUCCUUCCUUAUGGAGGGCCCAGCCUGCAUCCAAAAUCCUGGAUCCCUCAAAGUCCAGCCUCAGAGUUUGCAUGAAGCAAAAACCAUAAGUUAGAAAGGAGAAAGGUCAGGGUUGGGAGCAGUGCUCUGUGCUCACAAAUGUCUUGCUUGGAAUGAAGGGGCUAGUUUGACUGUCCUGUCUCUGGGCAGUAUGUUCCCUCCUUAUCCCAGCAGUUGCCUCUCCCCUCAUGGUGUUGACGGGAGCCUUUUCUGCUUACAGCAUGGAGCAUAUUGCACCAGGCCCUCUUGCCUCCUGCCCUCUUAUUAACCUGUGGAUGCUCUGUCAGGAGCCAUGAGUCCUGGGCUCCUUAAGAUGGAAUUGGAGGGCCUGUCAGUAUAUUUGACCCAUGUACAUAGCAAUAUUGGCCAUUGGGGUUUGAAGAAAACCACAUGAAAGCCAAGACCCCAUUUGGAGUGAACUGGCUCAGUAACUGCCUUGCUCUUUUCUGUGUGGACAGUCGUGUCCACAGGGCUGAACUCCAGGCCCUCCCAAGCCUUCCCUGCCACGUUAGUGCUGUCUAACCUGAGCCUGGUCGCCACUCUGCCUCCAGGCCAUUCUGCAUGUUGAGAAUCACCUGGAGGGAUCAGUGAAGCUGCUGAUCCUGGUGCAACCUGUGAGAAGGCUGUGAUGGACGCUGAAGUGCACAGACCAGGGGAUGUGAUUGGAAAGGCAUUUAUUUUUGUGAAGAGGCUAUCAAAUUAGCAUUUAAAUAUCCCCUUCCUUUCUCCUGGCCUCCCCCUCCCCACAGGGUUUCUCUGUCCCCAAGGUCAGAUUUUCUGAAUGGCAUCAGCUCACCUUUGUCUGCUGGGUCCUGACACUGCACCUCUGGGCUGGUGGAGGGGCCUGAGAACUGGGGGGCAGGAUCCCAUUUUCUUGCAUCACUGUGAGGGAGCUCCAGGCCCUGUCCCUGGAGAAAUAAUUGCUGUGCAGAAGUCACAGGCCAUACUGGGCAGUUUUGGUAUAAGCCUGCCCUUAAAAAUAAUAAUAAUAAUGGUAGCUCCAUUUGCAUAGAAUUAUCACUCAUUCCUACCAGUCCACUGUCCUGCUGUCCCCGUCCUUGGCUUUUUGCUGGCCCCAAAUCACGGACGGCCCUUUGAGUGUUGGUAGGCCCUGGGCUCUUCAGACGCUGCUGCUUGGGAAUAUUCCUAACUCUGGGGAGACAGCAGCCAAAUUGCCAAUACAAUCAAACUCUUGACACAAUCUUGUUAGCAGUAGUGACCCAGAAGAUUUUGCUGCCUACAGUUUCACCAGAAAGAGGCCCAGGGCUCCCUGUGGUCACAUUUUCUACCCAAGCUAUUCCUGGGAUUGCGACUGCCAUUUCUGGCUCCAGUUGAAUUUUCUCCACCCAAACCCCAAUAAUAAAUGGAUCCAUGAUGAUAAUUAAGAGAAGAGGAAAAAAAAUAUUAUUUUUGUUAGGACAAACCAUUGUAGAUUUUUAGCAAUGUGUAUCUGUGUGUCCCUCACACCUUUUUCCUAUUCUGCCUUUUUUUUUUUCCUUUUUUUAAAAUAUUAUGUACUAUAUUUUUAGUCUCAAACACACUAUAUAUUAUAUAUAUUUAAUUUUUUUAUAUAUAUAAAUAUAAAUGUUUUAAAAAGU